CGGAGGCGCUCAAAGGUUCUCUCUGUACGGUCGGAAAUCGUAUGUAGAGUGUAAAGGCAAAAGAGAGCUUGAUUGCAAGACAUACAGGUCGAGUAUGGAUGAAUAGCUGACUUAGUGAUCCGGUGGUGCUGCGUGGAAGGGCCAUCGCUCAACGGAUAAAAGCGACCCUGGGGAUAACAGUCUUAUCUCCCCAAAGAGUCCACUUCGACGGGGAGGUUUGGCACCUCGAUG
rnacentral:rRNA from 1 species